GCCAAAGGCGUCCAUCUCAGAAACGUAAGUUGCACAACUCCGACGUUGUUAGUAACCCUGCACCCUUCGCGAUGCCAUCGGCUUCUCAUGAUAAUGAUGUCCCAUAUGAUACUUGGGAUGAAAAUUUUGGUUGGAUUCAUGCUGAUUCUAGGACAUAUGUAAAUAUUAUUGAUAAUGAAGAACCAGUAAUACCCAAUCUGGAUGACGACUAUGAGGACUUGGACUUGAACUUUAGUCUUUCAAGGAUUUGAGGAGUUUUAUAGCAAAUACCUUGAACUUUUUUGUUUUUGAAUCUAUAAG